rnacentral:rRNA from 1 species
UACAGAGGGGGCAAGCGUUAUUCGGAAUUAUUGGGCGUAAAGGGCGCGUAGGCGGCCUGGCAAGUGGAAGGUGAAAUCCCUCGGCUUAACCGAGGAACUGCCCUCCAAACUGCUUGGCUUGAGUCCGGGAGAGGUGAGUGGAAUUCCCAGUGUAGCGGUGAAAUGCGUAGAUAUUGGAAGGAACCCCGGAGGCGAAAGCGGUGUACUGGGGCUGGUCUGACGCUGAGGCACGAAAGCCAGGGGAGCGAACGGG